rnacentral:rRNA from 1 species
GAUGAACGCUGGCGGCGUGCUUAACACAUGCAAGUCGAACGAUGAAGCCCAGCUUGCUGGGUGGGUUAGUGGCGAACGGGUGAGUAACACGUGAGUAACCUGCCCUUAACUCUGGGAUAAGCCUGGGAAACUGGGUCUAAUACAGGCGAGGAGUGUCCACCGCAUGGUGGGUGUUGGAGAGAGUUAUCGGUGUUGGAUGGACUCGCGGCCUAUCAGCUUGUUGGUGAGGUAAUGGCUCACCAAGGCGACGACGGGUAGCCGGCCUGAGAGGGUGACCGGCCACACUGGGACUGAGACACGGCCCAGACUCCAACGGGAGGCAGCAGUGGGGAAUAUUGCACAGUGGGCGAAAGCCUGAUGCAGCGACGCCGCGUGAGGGAUGACGGCCUUCGGGUUGUAAACCUCUUUCAGUAGGGAAGAAGCGAAAGUGACGGUACCUGAAGAAGAAGCCCCGGCUAACUACGUG